rnacentral:rRNA from 1 species
GAUGAACGCUGGCGGCGUGCUUAACACAUGCAAGUCGAACGAAGCACUUUAUUUGAUUUCCUUCGGGACUGAUCAUUUUGUGACUGAGUGGCGGACGGGUGAGUCACGCGUGGGUAACCUGCCUUGUACAGGGGGAUAACAGUUGGAAACGGCUGCUAAUACCGCAUAAGCGCACGGCAUCGCAUGAUGCAGUGUGAAAAACUCCGGUGGUAUAAGAUGGACCCGCGUUGGAUUAGCGAGUUGGUGAGGUAACGGCCCACCAAGGCGACGAUCCAUAGCCGAUCUGAGAGAGUGACCGGCCACAUUGGGACUGAGACCCGGCCCAAACUCCUACGGGAGGCAGCAGUGGGGAAUAUUGCACAAGGGGCGAAAGCCUGAUGCAGCGACGCCGCGGCAGCGAAGAAGUAUUUCGAUAUGUAAAGCUCUAUCAGCAGGGAAGAUAAUGACGGUACCUUACUAAGAAGCACCGGCUAAAUACGUG